rnacentral:rRNA from 1 species
GAUGAACGCUGGCGGCGUGCUUAACACAUGCAAGUCGAACGAAGCACUUUAAUCGAUUUCUUCGGAAUGAAGUUUUUGUGACUGAGUGGCGGACGGGUGAGUAACGCGUGGGUAACCUGCCUCAUACAGGGGGAUAACAGUUGGAAACGACUGCUAAUACCACAUAAGCGCACAGGAUUGCAUGAUCCAGUGUGAAAAACUCCGGUGGUAUGAGAUGGACCCGCGUCUGAUUAGCCAGUUGGCGGGGUAACGGCCCACCAAAGCGACGAUCAGUGGCCGACCUGAGAGGGUGACCGGCCACAUUGGGACUGAGACACGGCCCAAACUCCUACGGGAGGCAGCAGUGGGGAAUAUUGCACAAUGGGGGAAACCCUGAUGCAGCGACGCCGCGUGAGCGAAGAAGUAUUUCGGUAUGUAAAGCUCUAUCAGCAGGGAAGAAGAAUGACGGUACCUGACUAAGAAGCACCGGCUAAAUACGUGCCAGCAGCCGCGGUAAUACGUAUGGUGCAAGCGUUAUCCGGAUUUACUGGGUGUAAAGGGAGCGCAGGCGGUACGGCAAGUCUGAUGUGAAAUCCCGGGGCUCAACCCCGGUACUGCAUUGGAAACUGUCGGACUAGAGUGUCGGAGGGGUAAGUGGAAUUCCUAGUGUAGCGGUGAAAUGCGUAGAUAUUAGGAGGAACACCAGUGGCGAAGGCGGCUUACUGGACGAUUACUGACGCUGAGGCUCGAAAGCGUGGGGAGCAAAACAGGAUUAGAUACCCUGGUAGUCCACGCCGUAAACGAUGAAUACUAGGUGUCGGGGAGCAUUGUUCUUCGGUGCCGCAGCAAACGCAAUAAGUAUUCCACCUGGGGAGUACGUUCGCAAGAAUGAAAACUCAAAAGGAAUUGACGGGGACCCGCACAAGCGGUGGAGCAUGUGGUUUAAUUCGAAGCAAACGCGAAGAACCUUACCAAGUCUUGACAUCCCACUGACAGAGUAUGUAAUGUACUUUCUCUUCGGAGCAGUGGUGACAGGUGGUGCAUGGUUGUCGUCAGCUCGUGUCGUGAGAUGUUGGGUUAAGUCCGGAAAGGGGGGCAACCCCUAUUCUUAGUAGCCGGGGGUUUAGCGGGGCACUCUAGGGAGACUGCCAGGGAUAACCGGGAGGAAGGUGGGGAGGACGUCAAAAUCAUCAUGCCCCUUAUGAACUUGGGCUACACAACGUGCUACGAAUGGGGGUAAACAAAGGGGAAGGCAUUCCCGCGAGAGGGAGGCAAUUCUCAAAAAAUAACGUCUCGGUUUGGGAACGGUGUUCGGCGAACUGAACUACAGAAGGCUGGUAAUCGCUAGUUAUUCGGCGAUUCAAGAAUGUGGCGGGUAAUACGUUCCGGGUUCU